rnacentral:sRNA from 1 species
UAAGAUUAUAGGAGACUUCAUAUCAGGU